GAAUUAGACGUGGAAUGUCCUUGUUCGGUUCCAUCCCCAACAGCAUUGCCUCUGCGGUCUGUCUCAGUUCCUCCGGCCAAAACAGAAAACUCAACAAUUUUUAUUUUUAAAGUCAUUUUCCUGAAUUCGUCGCUAUCAUCCGACUGCUCAUGCACGAUUGUUACGCUAACGCACGCGUAGAGCUCCAUUUGGCCUUUACUUUUUAGAGCGAAAAAAGCAAUUCACCAUUCGUCGAUAAUAUAAUCGACAGUAGACUUAGAUUAGAUUGGAUUUUCUGCUUUUUUUCUUCUCUGAAUUAUCAUAUCGGCACACAUGCGAAACAAUUGACUUUCCUUUAUACACUGCAAGAAGAAAGGGAAAGCCUCUCAUCACUCCCACACUGGCAACUUUCCGAAACCUAGCUCUUUCAGAUUUCGCUGGAGGAUACUUUUAGAAAAAGAAAAAGAUGCCACUUGAGGUUGUAACUGAAAUUGGUCAACAGAAUAUCAUGUUGAAGAAAACAGAUUUAUUUCUUACCCUUUAGCCGUGUGAGAGAUUGUUUGAGGUAGCGGAAUGGAAAAGAAAAGAACUGAUGACUAUGAACCAGGUCCCAUUCCUUCACCAAGACCACUGGACAGAUUUGGGUUUGUAAAGCAGGAACCUAAUAGCUCUCCUGAUGGUUUAACUAGAGGCAGGCCAGCUCAUGAAUACGAGAGGGAGGAAGGAAGGGUUCGAAAAUGGAGGAAAAUGAUUGGGGUCGGAGGGAGUGAUUGGAAGCAUUAUGUUAGGAGAAAACCCCAUGUUGUCAGAAGGCGUAUACGGAAAGGAAUCCCUGAUUGUUUAAGAGGACUAGUUUGGCAGUUGAUCUCUGGAAGUCGGGACCUUUUGCUGAUGAACCCUGGGGUUUAUGAGCAACUAGUAAUAUAUGAGACGUCAGCUUCAGAACUAGACAUAAUACGAGACAUUUCUCGUACGUUUCCCUCACACGUUUUCUUCCAGCAGAGACAUGGACCUGGUCAAAGGUCACUUUACAAUGUUUUGAAGGCAUACUCUGUCUUUGACAGAGAUGUUGGAUAUGUUCAGGGAAUGGGUUUUUUAGCUGGUCUCUUGCUUCUGUAUAUGAGUGAAGAGGACGCUUUCUGGUUAUUGGUUGCAUUACUGAAAGGAGCUGUCCAUGCCCCAAUGGAAGGAUUAUAUCUGGCGGGGCUACCUCUGGUACAGCAGUAUCUUUUUCAGUUUGAUCACUUGGUGAGAGAGCAUUUGCCGAAGCUGGGGGAGCAUUUUUCCCAAGAGAUGAUAAACCCUAGCAUGUAUGCAAGUCAGUGGUUCAUUACAGUUUUCUCAUACUCUUUUCCAUUCCACUUGGCUCUUCGAGUUUGGGAUGUCUUUCUCUAUGAGGGUGUUAAAAUUGUUUUUAAGGUUGGUUUGGCCCUAUUAAAGUAUUGCGCUGAUGAUUUGACAAAAUUACCUUUUGAGAAACUCAUACAUGCUUUGCGGAACUUCCCCGAGGAUGCAAUGGAUCCAGAUACAUUAUUACCAUUGGCCUACUCAAUGAAGGUCCUCUCUCCGUUUCUCAUCCAUCUGUAAAUGGUGUUGGUUUUGCAAGUGCCUGUGUACUCUGAUCGUCUCCAUGUAGUUCUUUUCUGGUGCUUGAAAUGCUUUGUUUGAGGAACUGAAGCAGGAGUAUGAGAAGAAGCAUGGAAAGACAGUUGAAUCAGCAGAAUUUAACGACAAGCAGAGACAGUCGCAAUGACGCUUCUUUUAUUCUAACAAGGAGCUUAAAAAUAACUCUCCUAGACACAUAUAUAUUCGCUUUGGUGGAUUAAUAUCUCAUGAAGAAACAUGCCUUAAACAUUGACCAUGUAAUGUGUGAUUGUUCAUAUAUAGCUGCUCUAUCCAGACUGUUAAUGUAAGAACUAUACGAAGUCAGUUUACACGUGAAGGCUUUUACCAGCAAAAUCUAAACUCCCAUCCCAUCUUCUAAAUACGGAUGAAACCUAUCUGAUGUAUACACUGUUUCAUUUGGAAAAGUCAGAGAAUGUCUAGGUGGUUGUUUCUGUAAA